rnacentral:rRNA from 1 species
UCUCCUACGGGGGGCAGCAGUCGGGAAUAUUGCGCAAUGGAGGAAACUCUGACGCAGUGACGCCGCGUGCAGGAAGAAGGUUUUCGGAUUGUAAACUGCUUUAGACAGGGAAGAAACAAGACAGUACCUGUAGAAUAAGCUCCGGCUAACUACGUGCCAGCAGCCGCGGUAAUACGGAGGAUGCGAGCGUUAUCCGGAUUUAUUGGGUUUAAAGGGUGCGCAGGCGGAUUUUUAAGUCAGCGGUCAAAUCGUGGGGCUCAACCCCAUCCAGCCGUUGAAACUGGGGAUCUAGAGUGUGCGAGAGG